UUAACAAAUGCGCAGACAACCAAGACUCUCUGAUUGACCAGGUACCAGAUGACUCCCAUGCUUCCUAUAAACAAUCAGGCAACGGGCCUGUCCCACUGCAGCAUGUUAUUGAGAGCAAGAAGCAAUAAUACUUGCAUAUACUAGAAAGCAAGAAUCACUGAAAGUGAAAAUGGCAAUGGUUCCAUGCUUUUUCAGCAACCCAUGAAUUCGAUCCCUUCAUUUCUUCUGUUCUGCGGGAUCCACUCAACGUCAUUCUUUUUCCUUCCUCUUCUAGCCUUUGUCACUGAAGACAGUAUUAAGGAUAAAGACUAACUAUAACAGUUUUAUCUAUUUUUAAGUAUUUGAGUUAUAGUUAUAUACUUAUCUUGUAUUUAGUUAGUUGUAGAUAUUAAGGAUAAAGACUAACUAUAACAGUUUUAUCUAUUUUUAGUAUUUGAGUUAUAACUGUAUACUUAUUUUUAGUAUUUGAGUUAUAGCUAUAUACUUAUCUUGUAUUUAGUUAGUUGUAGACUUGUAUUAUAUAAGUUUCUGUAAUACAUUCAGUAAAUAAUACAAAAACCCUUUUCUCUAUAGACAGACUCCAUAAGGUCGUCUUCAAGGCCCAUUUUUCUGGGCUUGAAAAAGAGAAACUGAAAGUGGAAAUUGAAGAUGUCAAAGGGCCACGAAUCAGCGGAGAGAGGAACAUGGAAGAGGAAGACAACAAUGAUCAUGGUAUUGUGGGCCAAGUGCUUGAGGAGUUCAGCCUGCCAGACGAUGUGACCAUUACUAAGGAGUAAAUCAACAAUCCUGAUGUUGAGGUUAUUGAGAUUUCCGGUUGAGUUCGUGCUUAAAAUGAUAUUAGAAAUAUGCGUAUGGAAAAGUGUGGAAGUUUUUACGCAAAAUCUUUAUAGCUGCCUGGUUUUUGAGCCCUUUACCUAUAAAUCUGUGCUUGUCUGAUUUUUUGAGUUUUCCUAUCUUCUUGUGCAUCUUACGGGAUCAAUUUAAAGUAGAGUCAUAUUGUAAUGCUAUUAUACAUUUUCUUUUUCAUUUUUUAUAGCAUAUGCCAAAG
rnacentral:lncRNA from 1 species